UACGUAGGGGGCAAGCGUUGUCCGGAUUUAUUGGGCGUAAAGAGCGUGUAGGCGGCUUUACAGGUCCGUUGUGAAAACUCGAGGCUCAACCUCGAGACGCCGGUGGAAACCGUAAGGCUAGAGUCCGGAAGAGGAGAGUGGAAUUCCUGGUGUAGCGGUGAAAUGCGCAGAUAUCAGGAGGAACACCCGUGGCGAAAGCGGCUCUCUGGGACGGUACUGACGCUGAGACGCGAAAGCGUGGGGAGCAAAGCAGG
rnacentral:rRNA from 1 species